rnacentral:snRNA from 1 species
GUGCUCGCUUUGGCAGCACAUAUACUAAAAAUUGGAAUGAUACGGAGAUUAGCAUGGCCCCUGCACAAGGAUGACACACAAAUUCGUGAAGCGUCCCAUAUUUUU